UGUUGAAACACCAGUUCUCAUAUGAUCACCAAAUUUAAGAAACACUAAGCCUGGUCAGUACCUAGAUGGGUGACUACUUGGGAAUACCAGGAUCUGUAA